AACAUACCCUUUGGUACGGAAUAGCCUCGGGAAACUGGGAGUAAUACCGUAUGUGCCCUUUGACUGUGGUGGUUGAAGGGGAAAGAUUUAUCGCCAAAGGAUUGGCCCGCGUUGGAUUAGGUAGUUGGUGGGGUAAUGGCCUACCAAGCCUACGAUCCAUAGCUGGUUUGAGAGGAUGAUCAGCCACACUGGGACUGAGACACGGCCCAGACUCCUACGGGAGGCAGCAGUGGGGAGUCUUAGACAAUGGGGGAAACCCUGAUCUAGCCAUGCCGCGUGAUC
rnacentral:rRNA from 1 species